GCGACGACGGGUAGCCGGCCUGAGAGGGCGACCGGCCACACUGGGACUGAGACACGGCCCAGACUCCUACGGGAGGCAGCAGUGGGGAAUAUUGCACAAUGGGCGAAAGCCUGAUGCAGCGACGCCGCGUGAGGGAUGACGGCCUUCGGGUUGUAAACCUCUUUCAGCAGGGAAGAAGCGCAAGUGACGGUACCUGCAGAAGAAGCGCCGGCUAACUACGUGCCAGCAGCCGCGGUAAUACGUAGGGCGCAAGCGUUGUCCGGAAUUAUUGGGCGUAAAGAGCUCGUAGGCGGCUUGUCACGUCGGAUGUGAAAGCCCGGGGCUUAACCCCGGGUCUGCAUUCGAUACGGGCUAGCUAGAGUGUGGUAGGGGAGAUCGGAAUUCCUGGUGUAGCGGUGAAAUGCGCAGAUAUCAGGAGGAACACCGGUGGCGAAGGCGGAUCUCUGGGCCAUUACUGACGCUGAGGAGCGAAAGCGUGGGGAGCGAACAGGAUUAGAUACCCUGGUAGUCCACGCCGUAAACGUUGGGAACUAGGUGUUGGCGACAUUCCACGUCGUCGGUGCCGCAGCUAACGCAUUAAGUUCCCCGCUGG
rnacentral:rRNA from 1 species